GGUUAAGCGACUAAGCGUACACGGUGGAUGCCCUGGCAGUCAGAGGCGAUGAAGGACGUGCUAAUCUGCGAUAAGCGUCGGUAAGGUGAUAUGAACCGUUAUAACCGGCGAUUUCCGAAUGGGGAAACCCAGUGUGUUUCGACACACUAUCAUUAACUGAAUCCAUAGGUUAAUGAGGCGAACCGGGGGAACUGAAACAUCUAAGUACCCCGAGGAAAAGAAAUCAACCGAGAUUCCCCCAGUAGCGGCGAGCGAACGGGGAGCAGCCCAGAGCCUGAAUCAGUGUGUGUGUUAGUGGAAGCGUCUGGAAAGGCGCGCGAUACAGGGUGACAGCCCCGUACACAAAAAUGCACAUGCUGUGAGCUCGAUGAGUAGGGCGGGACACGUGGUAUCCUGUCUGAAUAUGGGGGGACCAUCCUCCAAGGCUAAAUACUCCUGACUGACCGAUAGUGAACCAGUACCGUGAGGGAAAGGCGAAAAGAACCCCGGCGAGGGGAGUGAAAAAGAACCUGAAACCGUGUACGUACAAGCAGUGGGAGCACGCUUAGGCGUGUGACUGCGUACCUUUUGUAUAAUGGGUCAGCGACUUAUAUUCUGUAGCAAGGUUAACCGAAUAGGGGAGCCGAAGGGAAACCGAGUCUUAACUGGGCGUUAAGUUGCAGGGUAUAGACCCGAAACCCGGUGAUCUAGCCAUGGGCAGGUUGAAGGUUGGGUAACACUAACUGGAGGACCGAACCGACUAAUGUUGAAAAAUUAGCGGAUGACUUGUGGCUGGGGGUGAAAGGCCAAUCAAACCGGGAGAUAGCUGGUUCUCCCCGAAAGCUAUUUAGGUAGCGCCUCGUGAAUUCAUCUCCGGGGGUAGAGCACUGUUUCGGCAAGGGGGUCAUCCCGACUUACCAACCCGAUGCAAACUGCGAAUACCGGAGAAUGUUAUCACGGGAGACACACGGCGGGUGCUAACGUCCGUCGUGAAGAGGGAAACAACCCAGACCGCCAGCUAAGGUCCCAAAGUCAUGGUUAAGUGGGAAACGAUGUGGGAAGGCCCAGACAGCCAGGAUGUUGGCUUAGAAGCAGCCAUCAUUUAAAGAAAGCGUAAUAGCUCACUGGUCGAGUCGGCCUGCGCGGAAGAUGUAACGGGGCUAAACCAUGCACCGAAGCUGCGGCAGCGACGCUUAUGCGUUGUUGGGUAGGGGAGCGUUCUGUAAGCCUGUGAAGGUGUGCUGUGAGGCAUGCUGGAGGUAUCAGAAGUGCGAAUGCUGACAUAAGUAACGAUAAAGCGGGUGAAAAGCCCGCUCGCCGGAAGACCAAGGGUUCCUGUCCAACGUUAAUCGGGGCAGGGUGAGUCGACCCCUAAGGCGAGGCCGAAAGGCGUAGUC
rnacentral:rRNA from 1 species